GAUUGCUUGAGGAAGAGCAAAUCAGACUGCAAAACGCCGGUAAAUCAUCUCAUCUCGUUUCCCAAUCCACAUCUCACGCUAGCGUUCUACUGUUCAGUUGGGGAUGGUUUCUCCUGGUUUCUAUGAGAGUGGAUGCGAAGAUGCGCUAGAAAUGACCGAGGGUGGAGGAUCUCGAUUUCUCUCUGAUUACUCUGUUCCGGGGGCGAUUGCGUGUUUCCAGGAGGUCAAUUUCCUCUAGCGCGUUGAGAGAUUCGGGAGAAAUUUGAAGAGGAUGUGCGAGAACCUGGGCUAGAAACUUGUGUGUUAGUUGGUUUUUCACAGCAGUAUUGCAUGAUCUAGAGCGCUUUUUUGCCAGGGGAUGCUAGUUUGAUCUGACAGUUAGAGAUAUAUUAGAUGGGUUAUGAACACCAACUUUUGCCUCACAUUUACACUGCUUUUGCCUAGGAGAUGAACACCAAUUUGCCUGCACAUAGGUGCUCGUUGUUUUACAUUUUCACUUGCACGUAGUGCCAGUGCUGCCGCACCAGUUUUUUUUGCCUAACAUCUACACUGCUCUUGCCGAGAAGAUGAACACCAACUUGCCUGCAUACAGGUGCUCAUUGUCUCACAUUUUCACCUGCACGGAGUCGCAGUGCUGCCUCACCAGUUUUUUUUGCCUGACAUCUACACUGAUUUUGCCUAGGAGAUGAACACCAAUUUGCCUGCACAUAGGUGCUCGUUGUUUCACAUUUUCACUUGCACGUAGUUGCGGUGCUGCCACACCAGUUUUUUUUGCCUGACAUCUACGCUGCUCUUGCCCAGAAGAUGAACACCAACUUGCCUGCACACAGGUGCUCAUUGUCUCACAUUUUCACCUGCAUGCAAUCGCAGUGCUGCCUCACCACUUUUUUUUGUCUGACAUCUACACUGCUUUUGCCUAGGAGAUGAACACCAAUUUGCCUGCACAUAGGUGAUUGUUGUUUCACAUUUUCACCUGCACGCAGUCGUAGUGCCGCUGCACCAGUUUUUUUGCCUGACAUCUACACUGCUCUUGCCUAGAAGAUGAACACCAACUUGCCUGCACACAGGUGCUCGUUGUCUCACAUUUUCACAUGCACGUAGUCGCAGUGCUGCCUCACCGGUUUUUUGCCUGAUAUUUACACUGCUAUUGCCUAGAAGAUGAACACCAACUUGCCUGCACAUAGCUAUUUUUUCCCUCGCCAGUUUUUUUUGCCUGACAUUUACACUGCUCUUGCCUAGAAGGUGAACACCAACUUGCCUGCACACAAGUGCUCAUUGUCUCACAUUUUCUUAUGCUUUAUCUUUUGGAGAGGGCUUUUAAUAUGGUGGAUAUUGUAGGUUGCCUAAAAGCAUUUUUGACCAACACAGAUUGCUAGUGUUACACUGGAAGACAGAGAGUUGGUUUGUCAAACUUUAUCACGGGAGGGUAGUAACUGAAAGCUUGCUUAGCUCAUUCAUUUAAAUUUCUUUUCCAUUUUGACAUUGGCAUCCUUUAGCUAGCCAGAUGCCUGAUUUUUCAAUGGUUUUUGCUUAGCAGAGGCAUGUGAACUUGCCUACGCGGUUGUCACAGGGUUUCAUGCCUUUUUUAUUGUCAAUUUUAAUUUUCUAACUGCACUCACGUAACACUGUUUUAUACUUGUUCUUAUUAUUUUUGCAGCGAAUAAUGUCUGGGAGAAGUAGUAAGGGCAUCCAGCAAGGCCCCCCUACAACCAACCUUGAUGAUGAACCUUCUCGUCUUAUCAGAGAUACCCAAGCAGAUGUACGCGGGGAGAAAAAAAAUUAAUUCAUUUUUUAUUUUUAUAUGUGGUGCAUAUACUGGUUAG
rnacentral:lncRNA from 1 species